CUGGGAUUAUAGGCAUGAGCCACUGCACCCAGCUUUUGUGCUCUCUUUUUAAUUAUUAUAUUCUUUUAAAUUAUUACAUGUUAUUCCAUAGAUAAAUACAUUGUCGUUUAUUUAGCCAGUUUCCUGCUGAUGGGCAUUUAGGCUGUUUGCGUUUUAUGCUAUUAUAAAUAAUGCUGCAUGGACACCAUUUGUAUUUUUUACAUUGAUCUGAAUAAAGUGUGUUACAUUUAUAGAGAGAAAAAAUAUUUGUAAAUAUUUAAAAAUAUUUGUUUUAAUUUGAACUGGAACAAAGGCCAUGACUUUAGGUUUAAUUCAGCGUGUGUCCCCAUCUUUCAAGUGGCCAAGGUUGUCCAAGACACACAUAAUGCCUUUACACUGUUUAUGUGUUAGAACUAAGUGAUAACACUUGCCUUCCAUCUAUUAUUUUUUCCCUCACAGAAUUCAGAGCAGUAUAAAUCUGUCAGCUCCCCAACUUUCAGGAUCCAUAGGAGAACUGAAAAGACCAACCACUGCUACAGAUAAGGGAUUGAAUCUCAUUCCUUCUAAAACCUCAAGUCAUAGAAACUGAGACCUGGAGAGAGAUUUUUCAACCCACAGAGGGACAGGAGGUGAUAAAAUAGAUAUCUCAACCCCCAUGGCAGAUCAGAAUUCGUAGCUAGAAUUGAUAUAAUUUGAUCCCUUGGAUACGCAAUCACAUUCGUUCCUGUCAUCACUUGAUCUUCAACUCUUACCCUUACACUUGGGAUGCUGGAGACAAUUAAUGAGGAAAUCAGCAAAUUCCCAGCUACUUCUACUUGGUGCCAUGUCAUCCUUAACCAAAGGUGCAACUGAGUGUAAAAUAAAUAAAGUUCUUGUAUUUGGUAAAAUUAGUUACAACACAAAGGCUCUCUGGUAAAAAAAAAAAAAAAAAAAAACAGAGAAAAAGAAAAAAGGGAAAGAAAACACUCCCCUCCCUUCAGCCUCCCCUCAAGCCUCUAAUCUCAUCUGUGAAAAAGAACUGUACUUUACUGUCCACAAAACAGUCUAUUUUCAAAGUGAGAGGAGAAUGGCCCUGUGAGGAAAGCCAUCAGUAACUGCAGUUCCCAAAUUCCUGCUUGUUUAUAGAAAGUAGUGGCGGAGGAUAGACACUUUGAAACCACCUGUGAAAGAAUUAAAGACCAAGGGGGGCAAACCCCCAUCACAAACAGAAUCUCACUGAUCAAGUGUGAAAGAAAAGGAAGAAAGAAAAAGCCAAGUAGAUCUUUGCAGGCAACCACUAGAUGGACAUAGAAUUCAAAAACAUUCUUUAGCGAGAUCAAGGAUGGCAGGCUUUGAAGCCUGGAGAGCUGGCGAGUCUCAGAACGGCCUGGCCGUGGCAAGCCCCGCACCGAAGCGCCCGCAGUCUUGCACUUGCUGGAGUAAAGCAUUUAAAUUGGAACAAUGUCAAAUUUCACAGCUAUCUUAUGUCUAGUGACCUUACGGGACCCCAAGGGGAAGACAGAUAAAAAAUGAUUGUUCUCGACAAGUUCCUGAAAGCAAAGAAGUCAAAUAGGCAACCUCUUGAAAUGAAAUCGCCCACAAACUGUUGCAUGCAGGGUGGCCAGCAAACAGGGCUUAUUUAUUUAUUCAUCUAUUUAUUCAUUUUACCAAGGACUCAUAGCGUGUCCCUUUCUUCAUAGAACACACACAAAGAUAAAGUCCCAUCAUCACAGUAUAUUAAUUUAGAAAGAAGGUUAUUGUGGGCAAAGAGGAGGUAACAACUAUUCUGAAUUAUUCAAUCGAUUUGAAACAGGUUUUACUGUUGUUUCAAGAAAGCGAGACAUAACUAGUGUCUGACACACAAAAAAACUAUACAUUACGUGAAAGAACAGUUUAUGAGGACAAAGACGAGAUCUCAAACUUCUGCUGUGUUUUUUAGACAAGAAUUUCAAUGACACUUCACAUCCCCUAACUAUGCCUAAAAAAGCAAUUUUGUUAAUCACUUUAGCACCAAUUCUUGCAUCCCUGGCAAUACUCAGAACUGCUUCCAUCCAAGUCUUUGAUGUGGGAAAGAAACACACACACACUCUUUCGCAUGUAAUCUGAAAACAAUUCACCUCUUGCCAAUGAAUGCACAGCACUCCACUUUAAUAGAGAGCAAGUUCUGUGGAGGUUUCUAAUCCUUUCUGCCAAAGAAGAGAAGAGAGAGAAUCACUCAGCUUCUAUUGCAGAUGUGAAGUUUAGCAUUUCUUUGCUCACUCUUUUACUGGGAAACUCUUCUAGCGGAAAGCCUGUCAUCUGUUGUGAAGGAGAGCUGGUGUUGACUUGAAGCAACAGAGUUGGUGGUCCAGUGGCCAUUGUCCUGUGUUAGGAGCAGGUGGUCUCGCUAAGCUCCAUGUGUUUGGAAAUUUCUCUGACCAGUGCUUGUUCUGCUAAAGGAAGAAGAGCUCAAGCUGCACUCCUUGUUUCCAGGAUCCCAUCCAGAAUACAUUACCUUUAGUCAUCAUGUCUCCUGUGGCUCUUCUUGGCUGUGACAGUUUCUCAGCUUUCCCAGUUUUAAUGAACUUGCCAUUUUCAUCAGAUUGUACCAAGACCUACUAUCAAUAUGACUUAUGACUAGUGGUGCUGACCUUGAUCACCUGGCUGAGGUAGUUCUUGUCAGGCUUCUCCACUGUCGAGUUGCUCUCCCCAUCCCCCUUUUCCAUAUUGUACUCUUUGAAAGAAAGUCACUAUAUGCAGCCCUUCCUUAAAAAUAUUAAAAUGAACUAGCUUAAUUAAGUUCUUUCUUACAUUUAGGUGUAAAUACCUCUGAGGUUUUUUUCUUUUAAAAAAUGAUUAUCUAUGUAAUACAUACUCACUGCACAAGACUUUAAAAAUGCAAGAAAAGUAUAAAGCAGCAGCAAAUAGAACUACCCAUAAUUCCAUCUGUCACAAGCAACCAUUUCUAGCUUUUUGUCAUAUUUCCUUCCAGUUUUUUUUCUUCUGCAUAAAAUAACUAUUUUUAUUUCUAUUUAUUUAUUUUUUUGAGACAGAGUUUCACUCUGUCACCAGGCUGGAGUGCCGUGGCACAAUCUCGGUUCUCUACAACCUCCACCUCCCAGGUUCAAGGGAUUCUCCUGCCUCAGCCUCCUGAGUAGCUGGGACUACAGGCGUGCACCACCAUGCCCAGCUAAUUUUUGUAUUUUUAGUAGAGACGGGGUUUCACCAUGUUGGCCAGGAUGGUCUUGAUCUCUUGACCUUGUGAUCCACCCGCCUCGGCCUCCCAAAGUGCUGGGAUUACAGGCAUGAGCCAUCGCGCCUGGCCAAAAUAACUAUUUUUAAAUAGCACUUGCUUGAAAUUAUUUCAUAGGUGGUAAAAAUAUUUUAUCUUUGAAUAUGGCAAAGAAGAUGGAUUCAUAUAAAACCAGAGCAGAUCUUGGUGGUACUUCAAGAUAUAAACUACCAACCCAAUAGAUAAUUUCUGAAAAUAACAUUUUAGAGUCUCUUCCUCUAUUUUUGAGAAGCUUGAAUAUUUACAAAUACAGCAUUCACUGUGAGACUUCUUGUUUCUUUUCCUUUCUAAGACUUUUAACUUGUUGUUUAUUUUACUAUUACAUGAAACACAUUUUAUUUUAAUUUUUAAAGUUUUAGUGUUUUUUGAGACAAGGUCUCAUUCUGUUGCCCAGUUUGGAGUGCAGUGGCAUGAACAUGGCUCACUGCAGCCUCAACUUUUUGGGCUCAAGUAAUCCUCUAGCUUCAGCUUCACGAGUAGCUGGGACUACAGGUAUACACCACCACACCUACCUAAUUUAUUCUUACAGUUUUUAGAGACGGGGGUCUCGCUGUGUUGCCCAGGCUGGUCUUGAACUCCUGGGCUCAAGCAAUCUUCCUGCCUCAGCCUCCCAAAGUGCUGGGAUUACAGGGAUGAGUCACCAUACCCAGCCUUAUUUAAAUAAGGUUUGAGGAAACUUGGGUAGCUGGUUAAAACUCUGGCAAUGAUCUAGGUUUCAAAUCAUCAAAUUCCUUUUUGCAUGGUGUAUAGACUCAUGACAACUCUUAUUUUUUUAAAGACUUUAUUUUGUACAUGCUUCUUAUUAAAAAAUUAAUACAGAAAAGUACAAAGUAAAAUCCCAAAAUUCUAUCACCUAAAAAAACCAUUAUUAACAUUAUUCCACAAACCUUCCCUUUGCAUAUAUACACAGAGAGAUAAAUUUACACAAAAGGCUCACACAUACCAUACAUAGUUACUAAAUGAGGAUGAAGCAAAAUGAAGAAAUUGAAGAAAAUGAAGCUGAAACAAAAUGAAGGAAUUACCAAAUUUUAGCUAAAUGUUCUUUUGCAAGACACUUUAGUUCCUAACAAUCCCUUUGAAGUUUUGAAAAAAGAUUAUGAAAAGCAUUAAGAGUUUGAAAGUCUACAUAAUUAACUUUUUUUUUUUUUUUUUUUUGAGACAGGGUCUUGCUCUGUUGCCCAUGCUGGAGUGCCUUGGUGUGAUCAUGGCUCACUGCAGCCUUGACCUCCCAGGCUCAACUGGUCCUCCCACUUCAGCCUCCGAAGUAGCUGGGACCACAGAUGUGUGUCACCAAGCCCGGCUAAUUUUUUAAAAUUCUUUUGUAGAGACAGGAUCUUCCAGUGUUGCCCAGGCUGGUCUUGAACUCCUGGAGGCUGGUCUUGAACUCCUGGGCUCAAAAACAAUCCUCCUACCUCAGGCUUCCAAAGUGCCAGGAUUACAGGUGUGAGCCACCGUGGCUGGCUGGAAAACUCUUCUAAUAGUGGCUGGCAUGUAGUAAGUGCUUAUAGUAAAUGUAAGCCAAUGCUAUUAUAGAGGAAUAAUGGUGAGCAUCUGGGCCCACGUAUGAUAUUGAAAUCUGUCACUCACAAAAUAAUCUCUUUGUCUCUCAUUCAUCUCAGAAUAAUUUUCCUGUUAAAUCUACCAGCUCCUGAGGGGCCCUGAGGGUAUAACCAAUGAGUAUGUGGGCACCAAUGUAAUGAAUGUGUGAAUAGGUGAUUCUGUCAUCUGUUUAUAAGAAUGACCAGAAUACAAAAUUCUAGCCUUUUUACAAUCCUAAACAUAUACUAUGUGCUACCAAUAACAGCAACAAUCACCAUCAUGCAUGUCACUUACAUGUACACACUAACAUAAAGAACUUUAUAUCUCUGCUUUAAAAUCCUCUUUAAAAGUAAACUAUUAGCCUGGGUAACAUGGUGAGACCUUGUCAAUGAAAUAAAAAAAUUAGCCAGGCACCUGUAGGCCCAGCUGCUCUG
rnacentral:lncRNA from 1 species